rnacentral:sRNA from 1 species
UGGUCGAGUACCACCAUCAUCAUUCACUCGACCAAUCACUCUACCAACAGGUCAAGUAUCACCAUCAUCAUUCACUCGACCAAUCACUCUACCAACAAGUGCAGUAUCACCAUCAUCAUUCACUCGACCAAUCACUCUACCACCAAGUCGAGUUCCACCAUCAUCCACCAUUCGACAUCAUACUCGACUGCCAGCUUAAGAGUCUUCUCGAUUCCGCACUCAACCAGACAAUCUAGCAUAAGGAAGAAAAGAAGACUCCAGCAAAUCACUCGACCAAUCACUGGACCACCUAGGUCGAGUAUCGUUCUUAAUCCGUCCCAAUACUGCGUCGUUUUGAGUAUUAGGGUUUCAGAACAUUUUGCUA